rnacentral:lncRNA from 1 species
AAGGGAGAUGCCGGAAGGAAUUAAAAUUGAAGCAAAGGCAGCCGCUUGAAUUAAUCUCCAUGACUGGUUUUAUCAAUUCUCUUAUUCCCAAUUCAAUUAUGUUAGGCUAGAUUUUUAUUUGGUUGAGGGUGAAUUCAAAACCCUAAACAUGCUAUGCAAUUAAAUUUAAAUUCUAUCAUUCAAUUUAUUUAAUUGAGAUUGUUUAUGUUCUUCUAUAAUUAAUGUUCAUGGUUUAUUCUUGUUUUAUUUGAGUGGC